AGUUAUUAACAUGGAAGUCAUGUGAUCUUUUUUCGAGUAUCUUGAAAAAUUGAAUGGAAAGAGUUUCAAAGGGCAAAGCCAAUUAUAGUUGAUCCGAGAUUGUACGCGACUCAAAAGGUGUCCAAAAUGAAGAAGGAGGUGAAGAAAGAAGUGAUGAAAUUGACCUUAUUUGAGAAGAUUUUUAAAUUGUUGAUGCUUUAAUAGCGAUCUUUUCGAUAUUGAAUUUUUCAUGAAACUUAUCGUCACUUGAAAUUUAUACUAU